rnacentral:rRNA from 1 species
UACAACAUAGCGUUAAUGCACUGAAUCCCAUUAGAACUUCACAAUUAAGCACGCUCGAACUAGAAUAGUACUAGGAUGGGUGACUUCCUGGGAAGUCCUAGUGUUUUAC